CAGGGAAUCUUCCACAAUGGGCGCAAGCCUGAUGGAGCAACACCGCGUGAGUGAAGAAGGGUUUCGGCUCGUAAAGCUCUGUUGUUAAAGAAGAACACGUAUGAGAGUAACUGUUCAUACGUUGACGGUAUUUAACCAGAAAGUCACGGCUAACUACGUGCCAGCAGCCGCGGUAAUACGUAGGUGGCAAGCGUUAUCCGGAUUUAUUGGGCGUAAAGAGAGUGCAGGCGGUUUUCUAAGUCUGAUGUGAAAGCCUUCGGCUUAACCGGAGAAGUGCAUCGGAAACUGGAUAACUUGAGUGCAGAAGAGGGUAGUGGAACUCCAUGUGUAGCGGUGGAAUGCGUAGAUAUAUGGAAGAACACCAGUGGCGAAGGCGGCUACCUGGUCUGCAACUGACGCUGAGACUCGAAAGCAUGGGUAGCGAACAGGAUUAGAUACCCUGGUAGUCCAUGCCGUAAACGAUGAGUGCUAGGUGUUGGAGGGUUUCCGCCCUUCAGUGCCGGAGCUAACGCAUUAAGCACUCCGCCUGGGGAGUACGACCGCAAGGUUG
rnacentral:rRNA from 1 species